rnacentral:rRNA from 1 species
CUGGCGGCAGGCNUAACACAUGCAAGUCGAACGGUAGCACAGAGGAGCUUGCUCCUCGGGUGACGAGUGGCGGACGGGUGAGUAAUGUCUGGGAAACUGCCCGAUGGAGGGGGAUAACUACUGGAAACGGUAGCUAAUACCGCAUAACGUCGCAAGACCAAAGAGGGGGACCUUCGGGCCUCUUGCCAUCGGAUGUGCCCAGAUGGGAUUAGCUAGUUGGUGAGGUAAUGGCUCACCAAGGCGACGAUCCCUAGCUGGUCUGAGAGGAUGACCAGCCACACUGGAACUGAGACACGGUCCAGACUCCUACGGGAGGCAGCAGUGGGGAAUAUUGCACAAUGGGCGCAAGCCUGAUGCAGCCAUGCCGCGUGUGUGAAGAAGGCCUUCGGGUUGUAAAGCACUUUCAGCGGGGAGGAAGGCGAUACGGUUAAUAACCGUGUUGAUUGACGUUACCCGCAGAAGAAGCACCGGCUAA